ACUCAAAGGAAUUGACGGGGGCCCGCACAAGCGGUGGAACAUGUGGUUUAAUUCGACACUACGCGAGGAACCUUACCUGGAUUUGACAUGUAUUUGACAGUCGUAGAAAUACGAUCUUCUGGGCUUCGGUUCAGACAGGUACACAGGUGCUGCAUGGCUGUCGUCAGCUCGUGUCGUGAGAUGUUGGGUUAAGUCCUUUAACGAGCGCAACCCCUACCGUCAGUUGCCACUUGCGUAAGCAAAGCACUCUGAUGGGACUGCCUGGGAAACCAGGAGGAAGGUGGGGAUGACGUCAAGUCAUCAUGGUCCUUAUAUCCAGGGCUACACACGUGUUACAAUGGCUAGUACAAAGGGCUGCAAGCCUGCAAAGGUGAGCUAAUCUCAAAAAACUAGUCUAAGUUCGGAUUGAGGUCUGCAACUCGACCUCAUGAAGUUGAAAUCGCUAGUAAUCGCGUAUCAGCAACGACGCGGUGAAUACGUUCUCGGGCCUUGUACACACCGCCCGU
rnacentral:rRNA from 1 species